UUGAACAUGUGAAUAGAUGUGGCAUCAAUCUAAGUCAGUUGACACCUUGCUCACCUUUUUUGCUUGGAGUCUGCCUCUUGCUCCAUAGUGAAGCAUGGGCACAAAUAUACAACUAAACCGACAGGAUGAUUUCAUCGGUGGAAGCAGUGCGUUCACAAAUUAUAUGAUCGUGUGCGUGGAUCAUUUUGCAACGCACGGGCAUUUUUCCUAGUAAUAAUAAAGAACGGAUUGAGUCUCUCGGGUUCAUCGUCGCGGCAGUUUUGCUAAACCCCCCUAUAAUUUUAGGUAAUUAACCCGCAGCACAAUUUAAAGUUUAUGAACAGAGAUACCGUUUCGUUCCAGCUUGGGCCUUUUCUAAUGGGUCUUCAGAAAAAUAAUACGUAUAGGACACAGGAGCACGGGCUCCUCAAUGCGUACGGGGGAUUGGAUGAUUUGCCCCAUUUUACAAGGGUUGGAUGAUUUGCCCUUUGAUUGUCUCAAUGACAGUGGCCCCGGACCCCACCUGGUAGCCUCUCGGGGGUAAAUGAUCCAAUGGAGAAGUAAAGUGGGGCAAAAGAUGCCGCCGCCGCCGUGCACCCGUUACUCUCUGGCGCCGCCGCCGCCCUGCUCUCGUUCCACUCCCUACCCGUCUCCAUCUUCUCCGGCGCCACCACGAUCGUCAACGUCCUGCCGCUGUAUGUCUCCGAUUUGGAUCGGAGUCCGUGUUCCCCCAGGAUAAGUGCUGCAACACGAAUCCAUGGCGUGCCCGACCCAAAUUUCAGAGAGACUUGUCUGCCAUUAGAAGGAGCCCUCGACCGGAAUCUCCAUUAAAUCGCAUCAUAUCGCAACUUUUGAAGAGUCGUCCAGGAUCGUCUCAGCCGAGUUCGCCGGAACACCUGAGCCGGAAGAACAUACCCUGCCGAACAUGCUACCCCAGAGAUCACAUCUUCCUUUGCUAGAACACGUGAGCUGAUUCCAACUUUGGCCUCAAGUUGCUCCCGUCAAUGACAAGUGUAGUUUUAUGGGGUUCACAAUUGACUUUUUCAACUAUAAUACAAUAGUCAGUGCAUGAGACAAAUAACUCAUGUUGGAUCGACACCUCCAUAUCAGAUAGCUAUAUUCAGCGCAAGUUAUUGAUGUAUUUCUUCAACUACCUCUCAUUUACUGCAUGUUGAUUUUCUCAUGAACUGCUUGCUGCAAAUAUAGGGAGGAGUGGGAGUGCGUUGUUCAUGAAAUUGAGUAUCUCAGAAGAAUUUGGUUUGACACUUAUUUUCCUCAACCUGUUAUUCUUCAAAUGUGCUUCCCAUGGAUUUGAUAAACUUGGUGAGUUAAUGUUAUGUGUCAGGUAUGGCCAUAAGAUACUCAUGAAACUUAUUUUAUUUUGCCUCACACAAGAUGUAUGUUGUUUAGACUCAUGUACUGUCAGUACUGGUGGAUCGAUGAUCUAAGGAUCAUAUGAAUGAUUAAUGGAGGAUAAUUCAUAUUCAGUUCUCCUCUCAAAUUUUGUGGUGCCAAGCUUGAUCUUUAUCCAUCUAACUGACUGAAAGUGCCUUCUAAUCACUAUUGAAAGCAUAUGUUAGUUAGUUUGACUGUAUAUACCACACAAAAAGUAAAAAGUGAAUUCUAGAAAAAAUUAGACACAGAUACUACAGAACCAGUGGACCCUCAAGAAACAAAAGGCACACCUAUUGAUCUUCCAAGUUAAAAAUCUGAAAAUAACUUUCAUUUAGUGAUGGAUAUAUAGUCAAGAAAGGAUGCCUUUCCCUAAAGAUACAAAACAAAAUCGUGUUCGUGUAUGUCCAGCUGACAGAUGAAUCGAUCUCCUUUCAAGUAUCAACCCAGCAACCUUCGUGUAUGUACAUGUGUGCAUCAAGGAUGCACGGGUCCAUUGGCCUGCAUACCACACAUCCCUUCACUAAUUCCAUCAGUAUCAUUCUUAACAAGGUAAGUAUGAUUCCCUAAUCCCUGAUUUUAUUAAUUGAUCUUUGAUCCUUCAUCCCUAAUGUCGUUAUACCUUAUUGAUUCUAUAAAAGAUCUCAAACAAGAACAUACCAUUUUUUAGGCUACAAUUCCUAUAGCUUGCCUUGUCAAUUUGAUAAAAUUACAUGUGUGAUGGAGGUUGUAACUUAUUACGGUUUACAUUGUCAGAAUGAUAUCUGUGUCGUCUCUAAACAUAUGUAUAUAUUUUGUGUGCCGGAUUUUCUGAUGUAGAUGCUAUAUAAGAGGAAGCUAUUCGACAAUUCUGCUCAAGUUGGUACGGAUCAGAUCAAUUUUAUUCAGUAAAUAUUUAUGCUUGAUAGAUACAAGCCUCCCUCUUCUGCCCUUCUUUUCUCCUUCCUCUACAGGUCGCCAGCACAUGUGAAUCGUCCGUCAAGAGCAUGCUUGUGACAUCAUUACAUGUGAUGCAGGGCAAAAGGAUGUUGUCAGAAUGUAAAAACACAUUUAACCAUUUUCCGGGUUUUUUCCUCGCCCGUUUUCGCCGUCAUAUACACUGCAUCUCCCACUGUAACGGACAGCCAAAUUUGUAUUCUUGAAAGUUUUAAUCAUUUCUAUUGCAGCUAAGUGUUCAAGUGCAAUCUCUAGCCAAGUUCUCUUUGUUGUUGUGUUGAAUUUUGAGGAAAGGCGGCCAAGCAGCUCGUGGCAUCUGUGUCACGCCUGCUCUGCCGCUGCCUUGACCCGCCGACAACGUCGCCGGUUGAGCCGCAAGGGUGCAAGAUCAUCGUGGGGCCCAUUGCAUGGGCUCCGAGUAUGCUUGAUUGCCAUGUCGGAGGCGAAGGUGCUAGAGCUUGGUGGCGUGUUUGCAUUUGUGGAUGCAUGAAUAAUUGUCAAGGAGGCCGAAGCCAGUGCUAUUACAGUUGGACUGAAGGAAUUGUAUAACGUAUUCUUUUUUUUUUUGAGGCAAUUGUAUAACGUAUUCUGAGGCUCCUUGGUGGCGGAGAUCGACUACGCAGUGGGGAAAUGAACUAGGGGUUGAUUCUGUAAGCAGAUCAUUGUCCUACCCAAUUAUUGUUGAUAUUAAAUCUGCGCUGAGUAAUUUUUAGGCAUUAUCA